UAGCGUAUAUUAAAGUUGUUGCAGUUAGAACGCUCGUAGUCGGAUUUCGGGGCGGGCCGUUCGGUCUGCCGAUGGGUACGCACUGGUCGGCGCGUCCUUCCUUCCGGAGACCGUCCCUACUCUUAACUGAGCGGGGGCGGGAGACGGAACGUUUACUUUGAAAAAAUCAGAGUGUUUCAAGCAGGCAGCUCGCUCUUGCAUGGAUUAGCAUGGGAUAAUGAAAUAGGACUUUGGUGCUAUUUUGUUGGUUUCGAACACCGAAGUAAUGAUGAGAAGGGACAGUCAGGGGCACUCGUAUUCCGCCGAGAGAGGUGAAAUUCUCAGACCAGCGGAAGACGAACCACUGCGAAAGCAUUUG
rnacentral:rRNA from 1 species